CCAUUUCCACAUUGUACUGAAACUCUCGGCACUGGAAAUUGUCUCAUCAGAAGGAACAUACUGGAACGCUUACCCUAUUGUGGAGAUAAGAAUGAAUAAAUAAAGUACCACACUACUGAGAGAAGGAAAAAAAGCAAAGAAGCCAUAAUUAUGAAGGCGGCUAUUUGUAUUCAGGAUGUCCCAUGAUGACAGUAGUCCUGAAGGAAAGAUGCAUUCCUGGUUGUCUGCAGUUGUGGUCUGCUCAUCUUGCACGCUCUAGGCAGUCUCUCUUCAACAUACCUGAACCGCCCGCUGCCCAAAUAUAGCAUCACAGUGAAGUAUCAAAGCAGCAAUGAAAUGGAUCAAAGGUGACAGGCUGUAUA